rnacentral:rRNA from 1 species
UACAGAGGGGGCGAGCGUUGUUCGGAAUUACUGGGCGUAAAGGGCGCGUAGGCGGCCCGCUAAGUCGAACGUGAAAUCCCCAGGCUCAACCUGGGAACUGCGUCCGAUACUGGCAGGCUUGAAUCCGGGAGAGGGAUGUGGAAUUCCAGGUGUAGCGGUGAAAUGCGUAGAUAUCAGGAGGAACACCCGUGGCGAAAGCGAGUUACUGGGACGGUACUGACACUGAGGAACGAAAGCCUGGGGAGCGAAAGGG